UCUCCGUUGGUGAACCAGCGGAGGGAUCAUUACAGAGUUGCAAAACUCCCAAACCAUUGUGAACGUUACCUAUCCCGUUGCUUCGGCGGGCGGCCCGGGCCCCGCGCCCGGCGCCCCCCGGCCCCCCGUGGGCGCCCGCCGGAGGUAAACCAAACCCUUGAAUUGCAUGGCCUCCCUGAAUCUUCUGUACUGAAUAAGUCGAAACUUUCAACAACGGAUCUCUUGGUUCUG
rnacentral:misc_RNA from 1 species